rnacentral:rRNA from 1 species
ACUCCUACGGGAGGCAGCAGUGGGGAAUUUUGCGCAAUGGGCGAAAGCCUGACGCAGCAACGCCGCGUGAGUGAUGAAGGCUUUCGGGUCGUAAAGCUCUGUCAAUGGGAAAGAAGUGUAUUGUGGCUAAUAUCCACGAUACUUGACGGUACCCAUAAAGGAAGCACCGGCUAACUCCGUGCCAGCAGCCGCGGUAAUACGGGGGGUGCAAGCGUUGUUCGGAAUUAUUGGGCGUAAAGCGCGUGUAGGCGGUUUGAUUAGUCUGAUGUGAAAGCCCCGGGCUCAACCCGGGAAGUGCAUUGGAAACUGUCAGACUUGAAUACGGGAGAGGGUAGUGGAAUUCCUAGUGUAGGAGUGAAAUCCGUAGAUAUUAGGAGGAACACCGGUGGCGAAGGCGGCUGCCUGGACCGAUAUUGACGCUGAGACGCGAAAGCGUGGGUAGCAAACAGGAUUAGAUACCCUGGUAGUCCACGCCGUAAACGAUGAGAACUAGGUGUUGCGGGU